UACGGAGGGUGCAAGCGUUAAUCGGAAUUACUGGGCGUAAAGCGCGCGUAGGCGGUUUGGUAAGUCGGAUGUGAAAGCCCUGGGCUCAACCUGGGAAUUGCAUUCGAUACUGCCUGGCUCGAGGAUGGGAGAGGGAAGUGGAAUUUCCGGGGUAGCGGUGAAAUGCGUAGAUAUCGGAAGGAACACCAGUGGCGAAGGCGACUUCCUGGGCCAACCCUGACGCUGAGGUGCGAAAGCGUGGGGAGCAAACAGG
rnacentral:misc_RNA from 1 species